rnacentral:lncRNA from 1 species
UUAAGCCAUUACGAGUGAAGGCCCGCGCUUCGCAGCGAAAAAUUUAUGAAGAAAAAUCAAAAUAAAUAACUAAAUAUUUAAAGUUUAAAAUAUUUUAUUAUUCAAAAUUUAAAUUUAAAUUUAGAAUAUAAAAUGUUGAAACUUAAAAUUUAAAUUUUAAUAUAUCAAAUUGAAAUUUCAAUAUUUAGAAUUUAAUAUUUGGAUUUUUAAAAUUCAAUUUAUAAUUAUAUAUAUAUAUAAUUCUCUCUCUCCCUCUCUUUCUCUCUCUCUCUAUAUAUAUAUAUAUUUACAAAUAUAUAUUUAUUAUAUAUAUAUUUUUAUAAUUCUCUCUCUCUCUCUCUCUCUAUAUAUAUAUAUAUAUAUGUUUUUGAAUAGAAAAUUUUAAUUGUUGUAUUUAAAUUUAAAGUUUAAAUUUAAAUUUUUAUUUUUUUGUAUGUGAAUCACAAUACUAAAAAAAAAUUGGGAAAGAAAAAAAA